rnacentral:rRNA from 1 species
UACGUAGGGUGCAAGCGUUGUCCGGAAUUAUUGGGCGUAAAGAGCUCGUAGGCGGUCUGUCGCGUCGGCUGUGAAAACCUGGGGCUCAACCCCAGGCCUGCAGUCGAUACGGGCAGACUAGAGUCCGGCAGGGGAGACUGGAAUUCCUGGUGUAGCGGUGAAAUGCGUAGAUAUCGUAAGGAAGACCAGUGGCGAAGGCGGGUCUCUGGACAGUUCCUGACGCUGAGGCGCGAAAGCUAGGGGAGCAAACGGG